rfam:Triticum aestivum genome assembly, contig: Triticum_aestivum_CS42_TGACv1_scaffold_592938_7BS
UAAAUACUCCCUCCGUUCAAAAAUACUUGUAAUCAAAAUAGAUAAAAACAUGUAUCUAAAACUAAAAUACAUCUAGAUACAUCUCUUUUUAUUCAUUUCGAUGACAAGUAUUUCCGGACGGAGGGAGUAUAAG